rnacentral:rRNA from 1 species
AUUGAACGCUGGCUGCAGGCUUAACACAUGCAAGUCGAGCGAGCGGCGGACGGGUGAGUAAUGUCUGGGAAACUGCCUGAUGGAGGGGGAUAACUACUGGAAACGGUAGCUAAUACCGCAUACCCUCAGAUGUGCCCAGAUGGGAUUAGCUCGUAGGUGGGGUAAUGGCUCACCUAGGCGACGAUCCCUAGCUGGUCUGAGAGGAUGACCAGCCAACCUGGAACUGAGACACGGUUCAGACUCCUACGGGAGGCAGCAGUGGGGAAUAUUGCACAAUGGGCGCAAGCCUGAGGCAGCCAUGCCGCGGGUAUGAAGAAGGCCUUCGGGUUGUAAAGCACUUUCAGCGGGGAGGCGUUACUCGCAGAAGAAGCACCGGCUAACUCCGUGCCAGCCGCCGCGGUAAUAC